rnacentral:lncRNA from 1 species
CAACUCAGAUCUUUAUCUUUUUUAAUUUAAUUAAUAAACUGAACGUGAUAUAUAUUUUUAUAGUACACUCAUAUGAUUUUCUAAAUGUGAUAUUUUUCUAUAAAUUUGGUUAAGACAAACUACAAUUUAUUAUACACGGAGGUAGCAUCCAAUUGUUCUAAAAAAAAGGUAGUAUGUGUAGUUAGAUUAAAAAAAAAUUGCUAUCUCAGGAAAGAAAAAACACCGCAUGAUCGAGUGCGGUCAUCAGCUGGAUCAUACGCCACGCCACGCCUAGCAUUGGUGCACACAAUGCUUCCAAUCCACAUUACAGUGCCGUGCUAGGCAUUUUCGAGCUAUAUAUCAUUAUUUCAACAAGCUUAGCAGAUUCAACUUAGCAUAUCAGGUUUUAUUGGCCC